rnacentral:rRNA from 1 species
GAUGAACGCUGGCGGCGUGCCUAAUACAUGCAAGUCGAGCGAAUGGAUUAAGAGCUUGCUCUUAUGAAGUUAGCGGCGGACGGGUGAGUAACACGUGGGUAACCUGCCCAUAAGACUGGGAUAACUCCGGGAAACCGGGGCUAAUACCGGAUAACAUUUUGAACCGCAUGGUUCGAAAUUGAAAGGCGGCUUCGGCUGUCACUUAUGGAUGGACCCGCGUCGCAUUAGCUAGUUGGUGAGGUAACGGCUCACCAAGGCAACGAUGCGUAGCCGACCUGAGGGGGAGAUCGUCCAGCCUGUGACUGAGACACGGCCCAGACUCCUACGGGAGGCAGCAGUAGGGAAUCUUCCGCAAUGGACGAAAGUCUGACGGAGCAACGCCGCGUGAGUGAUGAAGGCUUUCGGGUCGUAAAACUCUGUUGUUAGGAAGAACAAGUGCUAGUUGAAUAAGCUGGCACCUUGACGGUACCUAACCAGAAAGCCACGGCUAACUACGUGCCAGCCGCCGCAGUAA